UUUAAGAUAUAUGUGGUACAGGAUUAGAUACCCCAUUAACUUAUUUUGUAAUAUUAUCUUAGUUUAAUAACUAAAAUGGUUUGGCAGUGAGUGAUUCUUUUUAGGGGAAGGUGUGGUGUAAAGGAUGUUCCGCCUAUUAAUUUACUUUUAUUAUGUUGGUGUAUAUCUGGUUUAAUAUUAUUGUUGAAUGAUAUAAGUUUGUGUAGUUUACUAAUUAAGCCAAGUCUAUGUGCUGCUUAUAAAAGUAUUCAUGCGUUACUUUAAUAAAGUUUUAGUUGUAAGUACUAUUAUAUUCAGGACUUAAAAGUAAUGUUAAAUUAGUUUGUUAACGUGAAGUAAGUUUAGCUCAGGUACACACCGCCCGUCACCCUCGGUUA
rnacentral:rRNA from 1 species